UACGUAGGGGGCAAGCGUUAUCCGGAUUUACUGGGUGUAAAGGGGGCGCAGACGGCGCGGCAAGUCCGGAGUGAAAUCCCAGGGCCCAACCCUGGGGCUGCUCUGGAAACUGCCGGGCUGGAGUGCUGGAGGGGCAGGCGGAACUCCUAGUGUAGCGGUGAAAUGCGUAGAUAUUAGGAGGAACACCGGUGGCGAAGGCGGCCUGCUGGACAGCGACUGACGUUGAGGCCCGAAAGCGUGGGGAGCAAGCAGG
rnacentral:rRNA from 1 species